AUCCCUUUUAGAUAUUUUGGUUAAGAUCAAGUGUAGGAUCUGUUUUUACCAGUUUGAUAUCUGGUACAUCCUUUAUCCCAGGACAAUAUAUUAAGUGAAUUUUUGGAGCAGGGAGAUGGUUGAAAAUAAUACACCAUGCUUAACAUUGACCAUUUGCU
rnacentral:snRNA from 1 species